CGGAGCUAAUACCGGAUAAUAUAUUGAACCGCAUGGUUCAAUAGUGAAAGACGGUUUUGCUGUCACUUAUAGAUGGAUCCGCGCCGCAUUAGCUAGUUGGUAAGGUAACGGCUUACCAAGGCGACGAUGCGUAGCCGACCUGAGAGGGUGAUCGGCCACACUGGAACUGAGACACGGUCCAG
rnacentral:rRNA from 1 species